GGGGCUGUAUUGGAUUUGACAGCAUAAGCGAUAGUCAAGUGUAAGCAUGUAGAGCGUUGAGGUGGAGCUCUUUAAUAUCCUGUCUCGAACUAUAAUUGACAACACGUCAUACGCACUUGCUGCUUAAUCUAUUAGAUAGAUAAAGCUUAAUUCCAGCCGAAGCAUAGUAGGCGGAACAAGUUCUCCCUCCGCUGCCUCCGUCUUUUAGGCAUGGAACCCGGGAGAAUCAUUCAUUUAAGACUGGUGCCGACCUUACUUCGUGGAAGGCAUAAGACAACAGAAGAUAAGUUGUAUAUUGGGUGUUUUUGUCCGUUGUACAAUCGAAAACUAAUCAAAAACUAAACAUGUAGAAGCCUUGAAAAUUCUAUGUUUGGACGAGGGUUCAACCCCCUCCAGCUCCACUA
rnacentral:tmRNA from 1 species